AUUGAACGCUGGCGGCAGGCCUAACACAUGCAAGUCGAGCGGAGCGGCGGACGGGUGAGUAAUGCCUAGGUAUCUGCCUGUUCGUGGGGGAUAACGUCCGGAAACGGGCGCUAAUACCGCAUACUCUCGGAGUAGCCUAGGUCGGAUUAGCUAGUUGGUGGGGUAAAGGCCUACCAAGUCGACGAUCCGUAACUGGUCUGAGAGGAUGAUCAGUCACACUGGAACUGAGACACGGUCCAGACUCCUUCGGGAGGCAGCAGUGGGGAAGAUUGGACAAGGGGCGGAAGCCUGAGCCAGCCAUGCCGCGUGUGGGAAGAAGGUCUUCGGAUUGUAAAGCACUUUAAGUUGGGAGGCGUUACCAACAGAAUAAGCACCGGCUAACUACGUGCCAGCAGCCGCGGUAAUUC
rnacentral:rRNA from 1 species